rnacentral:rRNA from 1 species
AAAUUGAAGAGUUUGAUCAUGGCUCAGAUUGAACGCUGGCGGCAGGCUUAACACAUGCAAGUCGAGCGGAAACGAGUUAUCUGA